CUGCAAGGUCGGGCAACCGCGUCCUGCCCCCUGGGCGGGAUGAGGAAAGUCCGAACUCCGCAGAGCAAGGUGCCCGGCGAACAGCCGGGGGUUUGACGGCGUAAGCCGGCAAACACGGAAAGUGUCACAGAAAACAUACCGUCCGCCUUACGGCGGAUAAGGGUGAAAAGGCGAGGUAAGAGCUCACCAGUACUCCGAGCGAUCGGAAUAGCUUGGCAAACCCCACCCGGAGCAAGACCAAAUAGGUCCCGCUUCCCGCCUCGAGCGGGAGGAGAAUCGCCUGUUCAACUUUCUCCCUUCGGGAGGAAGGCGGGACGGGUCAGGUCGCUUGAGACCCUGAGCAAUCAGGGCCCUCAGAUAAAUGGCCAUCGUCCCAAACCCAGGGAUACAGAACUCGGCUUAUAGCUCGCUUCCGGAUUU
rnacentral:RNase_P_RNA from 1 species